AUUGAACGCUGGCGGCAGGCCUAACACAUGCAAGUCGAGCGAGCGGCGGACGGGUGAGUAAUGUCUGGGAAACUGCCUGAUGGAGGGGGAUAACUACUGGAAACGGUAGCUAAUACCGCUUAACAUCCGAUUUGCUCAGAGGGGAUUAGCUAGUGGGUGGGGUAACGGCUCACCUAGGCGACGAUCACCAGCUGGUCUGAGAGGAUGACCAGCCACACUGGAACGGAGAAACGGUCCAGACUCCUAGGGGAGGAGGAAGUGGGGAAUAUUGGACAAUGGGCGCAAGCCUGAUACAGCCAUGCCGCGUGUGUGAAGAAGGCCUUCGGGUUGUAAAGCACUUUCAGCAGGGAGGCGGUACCCGAAGAAGAAGCACCGGCUAACUACGUGCCAGCAGCCGCGGUAAUUC
rnacentral:rRNA from 1 species